rnacentral:lncRNA from 1 species
AUGAUGUCCCUGCUCAAGUACAAGAUGAAGCAUAUGAGAAAAACUUGGUUUCAAGAGAGGUUUCCUUUAGCCAUUAGGCUGCUGCAUGCUCAAGUUUCUUCUCCCAAAAGUGAUUGUAGUCAUGUACCAUGCAGUGAAAUAGCAUUCACUAGUUUUCAAGAAAGUGAAAUCUACUUCACCUAUGUGGAAUGGAGAGAGUACAAAUCAGUUGAAAUAAAUAGGCAGGUUUAUUGAUUCAAGCAUGGGCUCCAUCCUGUAUGAAUUCAUCUCCUGAACACCUGUGCCAGCAAUUCUUCCACUACAAAAUACUGCAAAAAGCUGUCAAUUUGGUUGAAACCUCCUGUCYGUUCCUAGUCGCCGAUUCUUCU